rnacentral:rRNA from 1 species
UACGUAGGGGGCAAGCGUUGUCCGGAAUCACUGGGCGUAAAGCGCACGUAGGCGGAUUGUUAAGUCAGGGGUGAAAUCCUGGAGCUCAACUCCAGAACUGCCUUUGAUACUGGCGAUCUUGAGUCCGGGAGAGGUGAGUGGAACUGCGAGUGUAGAGGUGAAAUUCGUAGAUAUUCGCAAGAACACCAGUGGCGAAGGCGGCUCACUGGCCCGGUACUGACGCUGAGGUGCGGAAGCGUGGGGAGCAAACAGGG